rnacentral:rRNA from 1 species
UCGUACGAGAGUUUUUAACUCAAGUGGCGGACGGGUGAGUAACACGUGAGAAUUUGCCUUUAGGAGGGGAAUAACAGAGUGAAAACGCUGCUAAUACCCCAUAUGCUUUCGAGUGAAAUGGAUUUAUUCGCCUAAAGAGAAGCUCGCGGCUGAUUAGCUUGUUGGUAAGGUAAUGGCUUACCAAGGCGACGAUCAGUAUCUGGUUUGAGAGGACGAUCAGACACACUGGAACUGAGACACGGUCCAGACUCCUACGGGAGGCAGCAGUGGGGAAUUUUCCGCAAUGGGCGAAAGCCUGACGGAGCAAUACCGCGUGAGGGAUGACUGCCUAUGGGUUGUAAACCUCUUUUCUCAGGGAGGAAAUCAAUGACGUUACCUGAGGAAUAAGCAUCGGCUAACUCCGUGCCAGCAGCCGCGGUAAGACGGAGGAUGCAAGUGUUAUCCGGAAUCACUGGGCGUAAAGCGUCUGUAGGUGGCUUAACAAGUCAACUGUUAAAUCUUGAAGCUCAACUUCGAAAUCGCAGUCGAAACUGUUAGGCUAGAGUAUAGUAGGGGUAAAGGGAAUUUCCAGUGGAGCGGUGAAAUGCGUAGAGAUUGGAAAGAACACCGAUGGCGAAGGCACUUUACUGGGCUAUUACUGACACUCAGAGACGAAAGCUAGGGUAGCAAAUGGGAUUAGAUACCCCAGUAGUCCUAGCCGUAAACAAUGGAUACUAGAUGUUGGGCAGAUCGACCUGUUCAGUAUCAAAGCUAACGCGUUAAGUAUCCCGCCUGGGAAGUAUGCGCGCANGCGUGAAACUCAAAGGAAUUGA